rnacentral:lncRNA from 1 species
GAUGGGGGGUGAAGAAAUAAAGUCCAUCACUUGAUUCACCCUUGCCAAUCACUUUCCCGGAUUUGUUUUCCUGAAAUUUAAAACAAUGAUCAUCAAAUACUACUUUAAUGUCAUUAUCUAAGGUUAAUUUGCUUAUAGCUAUUAAAUUAACCUUAAAUUCAGGAAUAUAUAGGACAUUUUUGAGUAUUAAAUUUUCUGAAAUUUUUAUACACCCAAUUCAUUGAACUAUUAAUGUUUUUCCACUAGGUAUAGUUACAAAGUGGUUGUGUUCUUGAAUUGGAGGAUUUGUAAAAAGAUGAAGACUACCGGUCAUAUGUUGUGAUGCCCCGGUGUCUACAAUCCAUUUAUCAAUAUAUGAAUUUAUAUUAAAAGAAAAAGAGUAAAAAUUACCAGCAUUGCUAGUUGUUUUGGUUGAGGAGAUUAGCUCUUUAAAAAGCUGAAUUUCUUCUUGAGUUAGCACAAGUUGUUGAUGACUGCUAGAAGCUACUUGAUUAGCAACAUCAGAUUCUAUAUUGGUGCUGCCCUGGGGUUUCUUUCCCU